AGUACCGUGAGGGAAAGGUGAAAAGCAUCCCGAGAGGGAGGUGAAAUAGUACCUGAAACCAUAUACUUACAAAGAGUCGGAGCCGCGUUCGCGCGGUGACGGCGUGCCUAUUGAAGAAUGAGCCAACGAGUUUGUUCUAUGUGGCUUACAUAAUCUCCUCUGGAGAGUAUGUGUAGUGAAAGCGAGGGUUAAUAGCCCGCAUUGUGCUUCGCUUUUGCGCAUUAAUUUAUUAGUGCGACAAGAGCGAAGUACACGUCGCAUGGACAAGACCCGAAGCCGGGUGAUCUAACCAUGUCCAGGUUGAACUCUGUCGAAAGACAGAGGAAGGACCGAACCCACUAGUCGUGCAACACUAGGGGAUGAGAUGUGGUUAGCGCAGAAAUUGUAAUCGAACUCGGCAAUAGCUGGUUCUCCUCGAAAUAGUUUUACGACUAGCCUCGAGCGCUGAUUAUGGGGGGUAGAGCACUGGAUGAGGGCGGGUCCUCGGAUACCGUCUUCAAUCAAACUCCGAAUACCCAUAAGUGUAGCUCGGGAGUCAGACCGUGGGCGCUAAGGUUCACUGGUCAAAAGGGAAACAGCCCAGAUCACAAUCUAAGGUCCCUAAAUAUAUGCUAAGUGUAAAAGGUGGUGUUGUGACCGCGACAAUUAGGAGGUUGGCUUAGAAGCAGCCAUCCUUUAAAGAUAGCGUAAUAGCUCACUAAUCAAGUUGUUUCGCGCCGAAAAUUUACCGGGGCUAAGCAUAUUACCGAAGAUGUGAACUUAAUAAUUUAUUAUUAAGUGGUAGAGGAGCAUUCCUUUCAGCGUUGAAGCCGUGCCGUGAGACAUGGUGGAGCGGAGGGAAGUGAGAAUGUUGGCAUGAGUAGCAAAAAGGCGGGUGAAAAUCCCGCCCACCGAAAAUCUAAGGUUUCCUGGGCAACGAGAAUCGCCCCAGGGUUAGUCGAUCCUAAGGUGUAACUAAUGUAAUGUUAGUGUAACCGAUGGAAGAGCUGGUUAAUAUUCCAGCACUGCUGUGUUUUUCCGAUGGAGGGACGCGG
rnacentral:rRNA from 1 species